rnacentral:tRNA from 1 species
AUUUAUAUAGUUUAAUUAAAACUUUACAUUUCAUGUAAAAAUAAAAAUAAAAAAAUUUUAUAAAUU